rfam:Triticum aestivum genome assembly, contig: Triticum_aestivum_CS42_TGACv1_scaffold_271889_3DS
GGCAGAAGCCUGAUCUUUAGUCCCGGUUCCAGCCACCAACCGGGACUAAAGAGGCUGCCCCAGGAGCGAGGCCUUUUGGUCCCGGUUCAUGUCUGGAACCGGGACCUAUGGCCCCCGAAGUU